GGAGGGUCCAAGCGUUAUCCGGAAUCAUUGGGUUUAAAGGGUCCGUAGGCGGUUUAAUAAGUCAGUGGUGAAAGCCCAUCGCUCAACGAUGGAACGGCCAUUGAUACUGUUAAACUUGAAUUAUUAGGAAGUAACUAGAAUAUGUAGUGUAGCGGUGAAAUGCUUAGAGAUUACAUGGAAUACCAAUUGCGAAGGCAGGUUACUACUAAUAUAUUGACGCUGAUGGACGAAAGCGUGGGGAGCGAACAGGAUUAGAUACCCUGGUAGUCCACGCCGUAAACGAUGGAUACUAGCUGUUCGGAGCAAUCUGAGUGGCUAAGCGAAAGUGAUAAGUAUCCCACCUGGGGAGUACGUUCGCAAGAAUG
rnacentral:rRNA from 1 species